rfam:Yersinia pseudotuberculosis IP 31758 plasmid plasmid_59kb, complete sequence.
GGGCAAGAUAGGUGAAGUUAGCUAACCGGCAAGCCGGUUAUCUAUCUUCACUCUCCCUUAUUCGCGCCUCCGGCACUCAAUGGGAAUCUUGCUCUGCGAGGCU